AAUAGCUGUGUGUGCAGCAGAAUUCAACCCAGAAGCCUUAAGCAAAGUCAGCAGCGGUAGGACUUUUUGAGCCCAAGUUAGAAACCACAUGGAGCUUAAUCAUUAAUCACCAGUCUUUAAUUAACAGCUCUGAGCUUUGAACAAAAGGCGCUUACCGCAAGGCUGCUGAGGAGCCCUGAACCUCUUUGGUGUGUUUUCAUUUGGAGCACCCAGUGGUCUUCAGAAGAGAAGCUGAUAGAGCAGCAACCCUUUGUGUCAAGGGUCAAGAUAAUAAGGAAGAGCAGAUGUUUGUGGCCUUUUCUAGCCUGGCAGCAGUUUCAAGCUGACUCAACAUGUACAAGCUGCCAGGUCUCCAAAGCAAGAAACCUAUUGCAGCAGUGACUCAUUGAGAACAGGAAUCCAGGCAAUGUUUGCUGUUACCAGCUUUGCACAGGGAGGAAGGAGCACAGGUUCAACAGCUAUUCUGGGCAAAAGGCAGGCAGUCUUUGGAAAAACACUUUUGGAAGAAAAAAGCCAUGAUGGAUGCAAGAUGAAUAGCCAGUCAUAUCCUGUACACAAGAGAAACUAGUGUCUGUGCAAAAGGAACUGGUCCCUAGUCUUCAGGAUGGACUAUUGAGACGGAAUGAUCAUGGCUUGCCAAAUUCAUGGUAGAGGCAAGAUCAAAACCUGUGACAUUUGGGUUCACAGCAUGCUCCUAACCAUGUCUACUCAGAGGUAAGUCCGAUUGAAUUCAUGGGCUUGACAACCAGGUAAGUGGAGUUGGAUUGCAGUUGCCUCUGCUUAUUACUUUUACAGUUUUAGAAACCACUUCUCAGUUCUCAACAAGAUUAAAAACAACAACAUUAAAAAGCAAGAUUCAUCUAAAGAGCCCAACCAGUGGAAAGCUUGCGCAAGGACAUUGGCUUGUACAAAAGGACUUUGCUCUUGUGCCCCCAAAAUUGGCUCUGGGGAGGUUCUGGAGAACCCCCUGGACAGCACAAGUGGGGAGGAAAGAGGAUUAUUCCAUAUGUCAAACUGAAAUGCUUGUACAGAUGGAAUAUUCAUAUUGGUGUAAUGGUGAAUCCAACCCAAUAAAUCCAUCCCUACAAAUGUACAAUUAAUAUUUCACAAAGGACUGGGUCACACCUCAGGGAAAGCCUUCUUAAUCAAAAAGGAGUUUUUCAUUUUCUUUUGCCAUUAUAUGCUACAAUUUGUCUGGUCCUUCGAUGGGCAAAUUGCCACUCCGGGGGGAAGAAAGGAGCUUCCAGAGAACAGCUGAAUUCACAGUGAGCACAUUUGCAUGACCAGGUUUGGUUUUAAACAAGAAUGCUAAGUUAAGAGAUUUUUUGGGCACAUGGCUUCACUUUUUUUGGCUGUUGUGUGAUGUCGAGGUCCCACCUUGCAAAAAUUCUCCUUUAAUUACUUCUAGGGAAGCAAGAUCCAGUUGGUAAACUCUGCAGCUCGAGGACAACUUUUCUUGCCAAGCAUGCAUUACCAAAGACUAAUUGUUAGCAUGGUGCACCUGCCUGCUCCCCUGGUGGAAAAGAAGCACAGAGCAUCUGAGGUGAAGAAGACUCCCUGAGGACUAACCCAAGGCUGCUGUUGUCACAGAAGACCAAGUCACAGGCUGGGACUUUAACCAUGUGCCCAAAAUAAUGGGGUGCCAGGAGAGAGUCAAUGAGUGGAAGAUUACAAUGUUCUUGACCACAGAUGAUGAGGACAGAACCCACCACUGUGACACAUACCAGCUUAGCAUACAAAAUAUGUAGUGUCUCUUAUGUUAAGAUGAGAAUACUGACAUGUUUCUUUUUAAAAUCCACAUAUGUAUGGAUAUUUCCCGGAAGGAGUAGCUGUGUUAAUCUUUUGCAACAAAAGCAGUGAAGAAUCUUGUGGCACUUGAGAGGCUAACACAUUUACUUAGGCCAGGGGUGGGGGAUUCUGUUUGCAUUUUGAAGAGAAAAUACCCAAUUUGCACUUCUGCAACCAGUUACUGAACUCAAAUCACUGAGGAAGAGCUGUAGCUAAGCAGUAGAGCACUGCUUUGCAUGCAGCAAGGCCAAGGUUCAAUCCUCAGCAUUUCCAGGAAGGGCUAGGAAAGCAUCCCUGGAGAGAAAAUGCCAGUCAGUAUGGACAAUAUGGAGCUAUAUGGACCAAUAGUUCGAUUUGGUAUAAGGUGGCUUCUGUUAAAGAGAUGUUUCAUAUGCAUAACAUGUAAAGUUUAUAUACACUGAGGUUUGAAAAAAAAACUUAUGUAAAGGUUUGCAUUUGCAAAGUAGAAAAGUUUGUAUUAGGCAUGAGAGGUUUCACACUGACAAAUGCGGCAGAAAAGGUUGAAUGUUCCGUUUCAGUCUUUAAGCUCAUCGAUGACUCAUCCUGGAAACCUGAGCUUUAGAUCUCUCACAAUAGGAAGGUGAAACCUGAGACUUCAGCGUCUCUGUCAGCAACGGAGCUUGAAAUAGAAGCAGUAGUGGUUUCACUCUGCAAUGAUGGAUGAGCAACUUCCUUAGGAUCUCUCUUUCUCUCUUUGGGACUGAAGAUGAGAAAGUUCUUGUACUAAAUCAAGGAGUAAAAAGAAGAUGGGAUCACAUUGCUUGCUUGAUUAAAAGCAAUGAGUUACUUUGUAUCUUGUAACAGUUUUUCAGAACAAUUUUAAGUUCAACAAAGCUUUGAAACUUUUCUUGUGGUGGGGAGCCUUUAUUUCUACUCUGCACAGGAUCCAAAUCAGGGAUUCUAUUGCUGCAACUCUAACUGCCUCAUAUGUUCCUAAAGCACAACUAUCCUUUGAAAUUCACAGACAUUUGAAUUUUGCAAUUAAGUUCACCAACCAAAUAUUGUGUAUAAAACUACAGAUAUUGGGGGGGAAAUGUGUUCAGAAGUACAUAUAUUAGUGGAAACAGCAUACAAAAAGGCAAUGCAUUAUGUUUGGGAGAAGCACUGGCAAAAAUAUGCAUAUUACUAAAAAAAAGGCAUACAAAAAUGGGCAGUGAGAGAAAUUUGCACUAAAAUGCUGACAAAUUUUCAUGAGGAUUUCCUUUUUUAAACAACAAGAAGUGUAAACCGCUGCAGUAACAUGGAAAAAAUGCUUUUAAGAUUGGAAAAAUGGGAAACUGAGAUAAGCUGCAAUUGACAGUUUCUAGGAGUUGACAGGCUAGUAUAGGGCACUAGGGAUAUUGAUAAUGAUCUAUUUGAGCCAGUGAGCACACCAGUGCAGGGCAAAAGGCUGCCAUGUUUCAUGAUAUAAACAGCCACCUGUAUACAAUGUGUGCAGUGGCCAUGCUGGGAAUUCAAAAUAAUGCCACAUGACUCAUGUAGCCAAUCACAGCUAGCAGGCCUCCAGAACUGAGUCUCUGCUAUGCCGGAAGUGAGUAUUUGCUGAGAAUGGCCUGCCUCUAGUACAGAGUUACAUUGUUACUCGAAAUAACUCCAGUUAAUUUUCCUUAAACAAUCACAGACUAAAUUUGGAAGGAAUGCAGAUGCUUUUCCAAGUCUAAUUAUAAUGGUGCCUGCAACACUGAGCUAUUAUUUCAAACAAGGACUACUUCAGCAGGAUCCCUCAGAUUGGGCCUCCCGGUCAUUACUGUACCGCUCUGCUGGCUUGCGGACUUGGCAUGCAUGCUUUAUGCUGUGGAUUCAAACGCACCUUAUUGCAACUGUAUUAACUCCCCAAACUGCACAAUAAUAUACUAGACGGAGAGUAUUGGCCCAGAAAGUCAUGCCCUGCUGCUAAUGAGGGUUGUUCUCUUCAGACAUUUUAUUGCCCCCUGUUUCGGGAUUCCUUAAUUGCUUUAAUCUUGGCAGAAAUACUUAUCUGGGGAGGGGGCUUAGGGUGAGGGAGGGCUGCCUAAACCAGCAAGUCCGGAGUCUAAUGAUGAUUAAGCCAGAGACAACAAGAUACAUGGAAAUCAGGGUCCGAUACAAAGCCAAAAAGGGGAAAACUCACCCACAGAAAUGCAGCAUUUGUAUACAGACUUUGCUUCUCUGAUAUCAGAGAAAGGCAGAAAUGUAGUUUCUUCCAAUUAGAGUCUACCAUUAUUCUAUGAGAACCCCUUAUUUACCUAUGAGGCAUUGCUAGCUACGCAGUCUUUCCUCAGACUUUGCCUUCUAUCAAAUAUAUGCUUAUGCUGCUGUUUAUUGGGUUUGUUUUAUGGGUUAUUGCAUGGCUUCUGCUAUUCUUUUUCCUGAUUGUGCCAUACUUCCUUUUGUAAGUUGCUUGGAGACUCCUUAAGCAUUGAGCCACUAAAACAUUCAAUAAAUAAAUAAAUAAAUAAAAAUUCCCAAACAAAUUUUGUUUUCCUAAAGCACUAUCGGUCAGGAAUUCUUACUUU